AGGUCUUAUCUGAAAGGAUUUAAAGGACACUGGAAAUCAAGUAAUAAGUGUCCAUCUCUCAGUCCUCCUAACUACCAGUCAAAACUCCAAUCUCAAUGACUCAGGAUUUUGUUUUGUUUCACAUGAUCAUAUAUGACUUUUAAAAGAAGAAAGUGAAAACAUUAAAAACCAACUUGAGGAUUCUAUCAAUUUAUGGACUAUGAUGGGAUACAAAGGACUACCAAAACUUUUUCAUUGUUGUUCAAAAGCAGAUCCUGGUAACAGCAGCAGUUUUUUCUCUGAAGGGGCCAAUGUGGCCUGAGGAAUUCAACCAUUUGCUUCUCUCAUUCUUCAAGAAGCCAAGAAGUAAACUCCUUUGCUGACACAGGCCUGCCCUCCACCGCAGGCCACUUUGCAAAGCCUGCCUCUACCCUGCUUUUCUUUGCCAUUUUCCUUUCACAUUCCUCCCCUCACCCCAAGACAAUGCAGGAAAAGAUACAAACCAUUUGUGCUGAUGUCCCCAAACAUGGUAAUAAUGAUAAUAUUAGUAAACAUCACCUUCCUACCAGUUUUUUUUAGAGGAUCUAAUGAGAUUGUGUGCAUAAACACCAUUUGUAAACUGUUAAGCAGAUCUAAGUUUUAGUGGUUGUAAAAUAUUAUUUCUAUUCAUGGCUCCAUAAGGUUUUAAAGUUUAAGUUGAGCUGGAUUUGAAUGCCAAAUAAAAGAGUUGGGUUUUACUAUCUAGCAUCCUUAAAGAUUUAGAGCAAAGUCAUGACAGGUUGAAAGGUGAGUUUUUCUAGUAAUUAAUCUAAUCAUGGUGUGGGAAGUGGGAAGAGGAAAUACCAGGAUUAGAGGAUUAAUUUAGGAGCUUAUUACCCAAUACCAAAGUAUUUGGCUGAAAGAUUGAGUAGUGGGCAUGGAAAUGGGAGAGGAGGGGCAGUUUGAUGAGGUGUUUGGUCUACUAAAACUGGAAGUUCUUGACAACUUACUGAAAUAAAUGGAAACAAAGAAAAAGAGUCAGAGAUGACUAUGCUUUGGAGCUUGUGUCCUUGGAAAAGCUGAAUUAUUCUUAAUUUUACUCUCACGUCUAAGCAAAACUGGUAGAUUUUCUUCAAGAAUGGACAAUGAGAAAUUUUAAACAUUCACACGUCAUUUUAAAUGAAGAUUUUGGGGUAUCUUUAUUAUUGAAUGGGCCUUGCUUUCAAAAUCUGCAUCCAGAUCUCUUCUCCAGGUUAAAGUCAUGAUAGGGUCCUGAGAUCUUGGGUGUCUUCUUGUGUCCUUGAAGUCUGAUUGCACUAGUGACCUCCCUCAGUCAGACUCUGUGUGGGGUCUAUGCAGAAGGGAAAAAAACUAGCUCAUCUCCCAUCCUAAGCUUUUCAGUUUUGCACUGCUAUUAUUCUCCUAUGACUUAGCUUAUUGGAAUUCAUGUUUUACUUGCCCUGAAGCAUACCAUGCAGAGCGACUAUAGCCCAGGCCUCUGAAAUAAGUUUAACCAAAGAUUUCAAUGGAAAGAACAGAAUGAUUUAUGUCUUAGGAAAAAACUACCACCACACUUGCACAUGUACAUGCCUAUGUGUGUGUGUGUGUGUGUCCCCAUUGUUUACUCAACAAAAACAUUUUAGCUUCUUUUAUCUCAAAGGGAAACAAAGAAUUUCUCUAAUUCUUAAGGGCAGAAAUCAUCAUUUCAUCAUAAAAUGACAGUGAAUUCUUCACAAAUAUUUCCACUUUUCUAAGUUGUCAAUUUGGUUUUAUACUCUUUAAUCUUUACCUUAGGAAAGAAAAGUGUUAAUGUGUUAUCAAGUAAAAUGUGGAUUUUAUGCUGAAGUCUCCAUGUCAGUGAAUUUAGGUUUUAUAAAAUACCAUAAGGGGAUUUCCAGUUCUUUCCUUGGAAAGCUAGGUGAAACCAUGUCAGUCAUGCAACCAGAGCUUCAUGUUCUGACAUGACCAGAUUGUCAGGGCGCCCACAUAAGCCAUGGAUUUCUGGUGAUCAUAUACAUCUAUACUUUUCCAAUAUUGGCUGAGAAUCAGACUCAAUAAGCAAUCGUACAUAAAUUAUUAAUAAUGAAUAACUUAAAUGCCCAACCUCCAACCAAUGAAUUCUGCUAACCUUUGAAUAUAUAAUGUUUUUCAAACUUAUACAUCUUCUAAGAUAACAUGACUAACUUUCUACAGAAGAAAUACUUCAGCUCUAUAAUAUAUGAAAAGCUAUCCCUAAAGGUAGAAAAUCAAAGCAUGCUAUCAAAAAUAAAAAUAUUAGUUCUCUAAAAUAUGUCACUAUUUAUUUUGAAAAAUUUAAAAUGUAUAUUGAAAAUUUAGUUUACCUGAUUAAAAAAAAAACAAAA